UUUGUCAAUGGCAUAAUACGAAAAAGUAAUGUUGAUUGUCUCACACAGCUGAGAAUGAAAAGGGACACGUUUUUCGAAUUGUGUUCAUUGUUGAGAGAUCGAAAACUCCUAUCCGAUUCCAGGAGAUAUAGUAUGGAAGAGCAAGUAGUAAUGUUCUUACAUACAGUUGGACACAAUGUACGUAAUCGUGUAAUUGGUCAUCGAUUUUUAAGAUCUGGUGAAACCGUAAGCAGACACUUUACUAGGGUGUAGGACGCAAUUAUCGGUAUAUACCCAGAAUAUGUGAAGUUUCCUGGUUUACACACACCCAGGGAAAUAUUUGACAACCCUUUAUGGAGUGCAUACUUUCAGGACUGCAUCGGGGCCCUAAAUGGCACCCAUAUACAGACUUAUGUGCCAAGAGAAAUGAGCUCAACUUUCAGAAAUAGGAAAGGAUAUCUCUCUCAAAAUGUUCUUGCUGCAUAUACGUUUGAUAUGAAAUUUGUGUAUGUGCUUGCUGGUUGGGAUGUAUUUGCAUCCGAUGCACAUAUCUUGCAAAAUGCAUUAACCCGUCGCCCUAACUGUUUUCUUA